rnacentral:rRNA from 1 species
CCCCUAGAUGUUCUGGGCCGCACGCGCGCUACACUGAACAGUUCAACAAGUCUUAACCUUGGCCGAUAGGUCUGGGUAAUCUUUGAACGCUGUUCGUGAUAGGGAUAGACCUUUGCAAUUAUGGGUCUUCAACGAGGAAUUCCUAGUAAACGCAAGUCAUCAGCUUGCAUUGAUUACGUCCCUGCCCUUUGUACACACCGCCCGUCGCACCUACCGAUUGAAUGGUCCGGUGAAAUCUCGGGACGGCGGCUUGGUCGCUUGCGUCCGACUGCUGAAACUUGAUUAAACCAUAUCAUUUAGAGGAAGGUGAAGUCGUAACA